rnacentral:lncRNA from 1 species
CGCCCGCGCUGCAGUCGGGACCGGCUUCAGCUUUAGAGAAGGAACGAGGCGCCAGCACUGGAGCGACAUCAUGCUGCAGGAGGCUACAGAUGAGGGGAGGCGGGCUCCACACUGAACCCCUCAGCCCGAGGCUUGGCCCAGCGGGAGCGCAGGGUGCUGGCCGGCUUCCCUGGGGCGGGGGCAGCGCAGUGACCUUCACCGCACUCACGGAUCGCGGGGAGCAGCUCAGAGACAGCCGCCCUCCAUCUGCCGUGAGGGCUCUGCCGUCCCCAUUUCCCAGAGGAAGAGACUGAGACACCGGGUCAAACCACUGAGCCACGGCCGCAGAGCCCACAUCCGUCUCCAGAUGCCAGCAGUGAGUCUGGGAACCCUGGACACGAAGGUCGAGGAACACAGCACCUGGGGCUUCCUGGAGGGACUGAGUUGGCUUAAAGGAAGCACAGCUUCGGCCGGUAGAAGGAGGGAGAGAGAAACGGUGAAGCACCGGGGGGCCCCACAGCGGGGGCCGCCAGGCAGAGGGCAAGGAAAGCUCAGGAGAAGACGCUGGAGGGAGGGGCCGUCAGCUCGGCGACCCGCGCAUCGGUCCAGCCAAACCUCGGCUCUCAAAACUCCCGCUCCUCUCCCCCCUGCCCGCCCCGAGCCGCCUGGGGCAUCUCAGCCUCCCGCGGCGGCCUGUGCCCAGCUGCAGCUCCGUACGCAGGCCUGUGGCCACGUGGCUGGCGCUGGCUGCCUGAGGCUGAGGCGGCUUUAGCCUGUCUCCCGGCCCAGCUGGGCUCCGCACAGUCCUGGCCACCGCCCUGCCCUUCCCUAGCACCAGGCUGCCCGUCCCAGGGUCGAGCAGGGACGAGAUUGGGAGCCCGCCCUACAGGUGGCCACGCCCUCCCGAGACUGGGGCUCGAGGCUGUCUGUGCAGAGAGGGAGGGUGACAGUCACCGAGAGCGCAGAGAGAGGGCCUAAGACCCGCGCCUCGAACCGACAACAAACGCAGAUUUUAAGUACACAAAUUAAAUUUGAUGCAAACGUUGCAGCAUUUCAUUCUGAGUGCUGCACAGGAUUGUAAGGCAAAUCAUGGUACAAACCACCGUGCCCUGCGCCCCCGGGGGGGGGUCUCUGAGCCGAGUCCUUGCCCUUGGCACAGCGCGCCUCCGCCUCUGCGCCCGCAUCAUCCUACUCUACUUCCCAGUCCCUCACUCUGCUCCCCAAAUUCUGGCCCAGCUUCCAGACCAUGUCUGCCUAGGGGCCUCAGGGGAAAGCAGCUCCUUAGCGAGCCAGUGUCUCGGCUGGGGCUGGAGACACCCGUGGUGAGGACACUGGGGAGGAAACGCCCAGUGAGGGUGGCAGGUGGUCCAUCCAGACCUGCAGAAAGGGCGGGCAAAGGGGGCUCACCUGCAAGGACCGGGCUGGAUGUCGGCCGCACCCUGGGUCUCUGGGGACCUGGGCUCUUCUCCCGCCUCCCACGGGACUUCCAGCCACUGUCCCGCAUGCGCUCUCCUUCUCAGCAGAGGGACGCUGGGCCCGGUCCCCUGGACCCGUCUUAUGUAGCACUCCUGGGUUCUGCUCAGUGGGGACCCUUGAGGGAGGCCCUUUCCCGCUUGCCGUCCCUGUUCCCCACACAGGACCUGCCCUCCUCCAGGCUCCUCUUUUGAGAGUCAGUCACCCCCGUGGGGACUCUGGUCACAGGCGAAUUCUGCACAGAACACAGCCAUGCUUGGGAAGACAGUCGCGGGGUGGCCCGGGGCUCAUUUCCUCGGCUCCAGGGUCUUCACCUUAAAGCAGAUGUGACCACAGCCUCUGCUUGAAGGACAGCAAAUCAGACCAUAGGAGAACACGUUCGGGUGGUGGACCAGGGCCUCCUGCUGCCAACUCACAGGAGGGCCCACUCUUAACACAGUUCCUUUUGCAUGAUGAGCGCUCAACCACCAUGACCCACACCCACAUGCACCACCUGGGCGCCUGGGCACUGAACAAGGUUCAAAUCCUCACAUCCAGUCAGUGUAGGAUUCACAAAUGCCGCUUACGAGACAGGAAAGUGGGGGGUGCAGAGCUGGCUGGGGACAUAGAGUGACCUGCUAAUCACAGAUCCCAGGCACAUGCGCAGAGCAGUUCCCAAAGCCCUGCCUGAGACUUCCGGAGAACUGGAGCAGGUUUUCCAUAGGAUGCCUGACCUGCCUCACCUCGAGGCCUGGGAUCCCAGCACCACCCCCCGGGACCCGGAUGUGGAAGUUCUCACAGGUUUCCUAGAGAUUAGAACAGCAUCAAAGGAUACAGAGGCCAAGAGGGGAUCGCUGUCCUGGCUUUCCUCACGCAUAGGCCGCCCUGUGUCCUCUGGGGUGUUCUUUGAUCUCGCUUUUUCCUUUUACUCAGCCCAAGCUCACUCUGCAGAGCCAGUUUCU